rnacentral:rRNA from 1 species
UACGGAGGGAGCUAGCGUUGUUCGGAAUUACUGGGCGUAAAGCGCACGUAGGCGGCUUUGUAAGUUAGAGGUGAAAGCCUGGGGCUCAACCCCAGAAUUGCCUUUAAGACUGCAUCGCUUGAAUCCGGGAGAGGUGAGUGGAAUUCCGAGUGUAGAGGUGAAAUUCGUAGAUAUUCGGAAGAGCACCGGUGGCGAAGGCGGCGAGCUGGUCCAUUACUGACGCUGAGGCGCGACAGCGUGGGGAGCAAACAGG